UACGUAGGGUGCGAGCGUUAAUCGGAAUUACUGGGCGUAAAGAGUGCGUAGGCGGUUUCUCAAGUCCGCUGUGAAAUCCCCGGGCUCAACCUGGGAAUGGCAGUGGAAACUAGGAGACUUGAAUCUGGCAGAGGGGGGUGGAAUUCCACGUGUAGCAGUGAAAUGCGUAGAGAUGUGGAGGAACACCGAUGGCGAAGGCAGCCCACUGGGCUGAGAUUGACGCUCAGGCACGAAAGCGUGGGGAGCAAACAGG
rnacentral:rRNA from 1 species